rnacentral:rRNA from 1 species
UCCUGGUGGCGAGUGGCGAACGGGUGAGUAAUACAUCGGAACGUGCCCAGUAAUGGGGGAUAGCCCGGCGAAAGCCGGAUUAAUACCGCAUACGACCUACGGGUGAAAGCGGGGGGUCGCAAGACCUCGCGUUAUUGGAGCGGCCGAUGUCAGAUUAGGUAGUUGGUGGGGUAAAGGCCUACCAAGCCGACGAUCUGUAGCUGGUCUGAGAGGACGACCAGCCACACUGGGACUGAGACACGGCCCAGACUCCUACGGGAGGCAGCAGUGGGGAAUUUUGGACAAUGGGCGCAAGCCUGAUCCAGCCAUGCCGCGUGCGGGAAGAAGGCCUUCGGGUUGUAAACCGCUUUUGUCAGGGAAGAAACGCUCUGGGCUAAUACCUCGGAGUAAUGACGGUACCUGAAGAAUAAGCACCGGCUAACUACGUGCCAGCAGCCGCGGUAAUACGUAGGGUGCAAGCGUUAAUCGGAAUUACUGGGCGUAAAGCGUGCGCAGGUGGUUGUGCAAGACAGGUGUGAAAUCCCCGGGCUUAACCUGGGAACUGCAUUUGUGACUGCAUGGCUAGAGUGCGGCAGAGGGGGAUGGAAUUCCGCGUGU